UGCGGAGGGUGCGAGCGUUGUCCGGAUUUAUUGGGUUUAAAGGGUGCGUAGGCGGCCGUUUAAGUCUGGGGUGAAAGCCCACUGCUCAACAGUGGAACUGCCCUGGAAACUGCACAGCUUGAGUACAGACGAGGUUGGCGGAAUGGAUGCUGUAGCGGUGAAAUGCAUAGAUAGCAUCCAGAACCCCGAUUGCGAAGGCAGCUGACUAGGCUGUAACUGACGCUGAGGCACGAAAGCGUGGGGAGCGAACAGG
rnacentral:rRNA from 1 species